GAUGAACGCUGGCGGCGUGCCUAAUACAUGCAAGUCGAGCGAACAGAUGAGGAGCUUGCUCCUCUGACGUUAGCGGCGGACGGGUGAGUAACACGUGGAUAACCUACCUAUAAGACUGGGAUAACUUCGGGAAACCGGAGCUAAUACCGGAUAAUAUAUUGAACCGCAUGGUUCAAUAGUGAAAGACGGUUUUGCUGUCACUUAUAGAUGGAUCCGCGCCGCAUUAGCUAGUUGGUAAGGUAACGGCUUACCAAGGCAACGAUGCGUAGCCGACCUGAGAGGGUGAUCGGCCACCCUGGAACUGAGACACGGUCCAGCCUCCUACGGGAGGCAGCAGUAGGGAAUCUUCCGCAAUGGGCGAAAGCCUGACGGAGCAACGCCGCGUGAGUGAUGAAGGUCUUCGGAUCGUAAAACUCUGUUAUUAGGGAAGAACAAAUGUGUAAGUAACUAUGCCCGUCUUGACGGUACCUAAUCAGAAAGCCACGGCUAACUACGUG
rnacentral:rRNA from 1 species